rnacentral:rRNA from 1 species
UACGAAGGGGACUAGCGUUGUUCGGAAUCACUGGGCGUAAAGCGCACGUAGGCGGAUGUGUCAGUCAGGGGUGAAAUCCCGGAGCUCAACUUCGGAACUGCCUUUGAUACAGCACAUCUUGAGUCCGGAAGAGGUGGGUGGAAUUCCUAGUGUAGAGGUGAAAUUCGUAGAUAUUAGGAAGAACACCGGUGGCGAAGGCGGCCCACUGGUCCGGUACUGACGCUGAGGUGCGAAAGCGUGGGGAGCAAACAGG